rnacentral:rRNA from 1 species
UACGUAGGGUCCGAGCGUUGUCCGGAAUACUGGGCGUAAAGCGUGCGCAGGCGGCUUCUUAGGCAUGACGUGAAAGCCCCGGGCUCAACCCGGGAGGGUCGGUCGUGAACCGGGGGCUUGAGGCCGGUAGAGGUGGGUGGAACUCCUGGUGGAGUGGUGAAAUGCGUAGAGAUCCGGAGGAACACCAAAGGCGAAGGCAGUGUCCUGGGGGAGUACCUGACGCGUCA